UUCUGCUCACAUCUCUGCAAUAUUUCUCAGAGGGAGGUUGCUGUGCCACAGCCAAUAAAUCACAACCGGAGAAUGAUGAGAGUGAUAAAUCUGUCUCUCAACCAACACCACUUAAAAUGUCCAGAGGAACUAAAUAAACAGGCACAGAAAGGAAAAAUAACACCAAGUUUUUGCACGCCUUACAUGAAAGUGAUUUUUUCUUCACAUUUUUCAGAACAAACUGAAGACUGGGUAUGUAAUUGACUCAGGAAAACAAGAGCUGUUACAUCUAUCUCAUUUAGCAAAGCACUAACUUUAUACUGAAGAUUUUCAUGUCCCCGAUCCAAAGCCCAGUAAGGCCACAAAUGCCACUGUUCCUGGAUUGAGCUCUAUGGACAUAUGCCAUUAGAACUGUUGGCUAAUAUAAGCAGAAGCCUAGACAUAUUUUCCGUGCAAGGGCUUCUAUUUGACUUGUAAACUCGAGCUGAUAAAAUACUGCACAUUAGUUACGCAUUAGUGCAAAAUGUAACCUUGACUGUUUAAAAGAAGCUCUUUCCUUUGUGAAUUCUGCUUUGUGAAUACGUAAACGCUAUCCUUUCUGGUGCUCCACAGUGUCCUGAACUUUCAGCAUAACAGUGGAUUUAAGAUCUCUUUUUAAAUACACAGGAUGAUAAUAGGUUCCUAAUAGCAGGUUCCUAACCCCUUAAAGUUGAUAUAAUGACUGAAAGUCCUGGAUUUCUUUUCCACCCUCUCCAACUUUGGCUUACUGUGCCAUAUCUCGGAGGGGUAUGCAGGAGAGUAGAUUGAUUUCUAAAUUAUCUUUUCUGUAGCAAUUUUAUUAUAGUAAUUUCCUUUACAUACUCUUGUAUUGUUGUUGUUUUUCUUUUUGUUUGUUUUGUUUUGUUUUAAUCUGAGACAAAACAGGAUCAAACUUGCAAACAGGGUGUGCAAAAUGUAACUGCCUCAUCAGAAGGAAACAUUGAGUCCAGUAGAAUUCAUUUCCAGCCUCAAAGGUAUAUCACACAGAUAUAGACUGAGACUGAGAACUUAACCAUCUACUGGGCAUCCAGAUUUGCUGGACUAGAUUUCCAAGAGUCAUCUAUGAAGAAUACAGGGAAGAACCAGAGUGAGUUGUCUCUUAGUGCAUCAUUACAGCGAAUUACCAUUCUGAGCCAACUUCUCCAUAGCGGUCAUGACUUUAUCAUGUCUGAAGAACACGAGAACUUCUGGAUGAAUGCCAUCUGGUCCUGGAAUGAGCUGGAUUCAGAAUCUGCUGGCUAAAUUGCCAGACUAAAUGAGUAAGAAUUUGCAAUGAACUCAACUCCCUUUUUGGAUUUGAUUUCUGCAUAAGACAUACUAAGAUCAAAUAUUUUUGUUUUUCUAGGCAUUUUUUGCAUAGAUUUACUCAAAUGUACAGCCAACAAUCUCAGUAUUUGGACAGUUUUGAGUUGCCUUUUUAACAUAAUUUCUCUCUAAUACAUUUGACUAAUUGCAUGAUGAUAGAUCACUCUCUCUCUGGCUGAUCAGUACCAUUUCAUUGUCUCCCUACAAGCUUUAAGAAAGAAAAAAGGAAACAGUUUCAAUGAAAUGCUUGCUAAUCAUAAAUGUCAUUUUAUUAUUUAGGAGAAACAAAACUUAAAUGGUUGUCCUAUCAUACUAUUAUUUGGGAUGUUGGGAAUUUUAGGCAAGAACUUCCUUAGAGUAGGUUGCCUUAUUAACUACACUGAUUUAUUAAUAAAAUUGGCUUUGAUAACUAAGAAAUAAUUUAUUUAUCAUAGUAGCAUAGUGAACCUCUGCAGGUAGUCUAGAGAAAUGUAUACAAUGUUUUUCCCAAUAUUUGAAGUAGAGAAGGCCUGAUUACUCUGAUAACAAAAGGAUCUUUAUUAUUAUUAUUUUAAUUAUAUAUUUUUUUCUGCUAUGUCACAUGAUGAACAUACUAGUUUAGUAGCCAAAACAGGUAGUGUGCUCUAUCAUUCCCUGCUAUGCAUACCAUACUUUUCUUAUCCAAAAUCAAACAGCAUCAAUUUAUAUUUUCCUCACAGAUUUUCUGGAAGGAUAAGCAUCUGUUUUCUUCAUUAAUUUACCAAGGACCUUUUCUUAUACUAAACAGAAAGUCUACUUGUAAAAUUAUGAAUUUGGAAAAGCUUAGCUCUAUCUUCUAUAAUACCUACAAACAGUUUUGGGUUUGUUGCCAGGUCUUUCAUUUGUCUUGGCAAAUGAAAUAAGAUAAAUGAGUUAGAAGAAAUCUAUAUGGAAAGUCACGGUCUAGUUCUGUUCUCAGAAGAGUUAUGCUGGCAUAAGGCCAUUGAUUCUGUGGAAUUACUCUCAUAAACCACAAGGAGAUGUGAAUAAGGCCACACUUUUGGAGAAAGUGAAAUUCAUGAAAUUCUCAGGAACACAUCUAUUUUAUUACAUUUAUUUAAAGUAUAUUACAUUCAGGUAGUUUUUUCUUUUCAAGGUGAUCUGAUCUUGAGCCCCUUUAGGUUUUUGGAAUAACUGCUAUCAAGACCAGUUUAUUUAACCAUCCAAACUUACCAAUGUAAGGGUGAAAAACAUGCGUCAUGACACGUACAAGGUAAUGAUAUAACUGUUCUUGUCAGUACUACACUCCUUAAUAAAUCUCAAAAGCAGAAUAGGCUGCUGAAAAAAAACCCUAUGUGUAACAAUCAAGAUCCGUAGUCUUUUCUUUUUAAUUCUCCAGUGAAGACCCAUAGUAGUCACUAUCGUUCUACUGCUAGUAGUUUUUGUUAGUAGACCUUACAGGAGUGUACAAAAGAGGUCAUUUAUUUUAACUGCAGUCUCUAUGAUUUUCAAUUUAGAGACAAAAAAAUGAAGCCUAGGAAUGUGAAAUGAUUUGGCACAGGUCACUCAACGGGCCAGUGUAAGCGUGUAUAAAAGAAAAUAAUCUCUUCAGGCUCUUCAUGUCCUUCCUCUGGAUCCGCUUUAACAGCUCUAUGUCUUUCUUGUGCUGGGGGCACCAUGCCUGGAUGUAGUAGUCCAGAUAGGGCCUCAUAAGGGCAGAGCAGAGGGGGACAAUCAACUCCUUCACCUUGCUGGCCAUCUCUCUCUUGAUGCAAUCCAGUUGGCCUUCUGGGCUGCAAGCACACACUACGGGCUCAUGUCCAGCUUUUCAUAGAAUCAUAACAUCAUAGAAUUGCUCAGGUUGGAAAAGACCUUAAAGAUAAUCGAGUCCAACCACAACCUAAGCAUACUACCCUAAGAACCCUCCUCUAAAUCAUGUCCCUGAGCACCACAUCCAAACGGUUUUUAAACGCAUCCAGGGAUGGUG